GUCGAGAAUCUUUCACAAUGGGGGAAACCCUGAUGGAGCGACGCCGCGUGGGGGAUGAAUGGCUUCGGCCCGUAAACCCCUGUCAUCUGUGAGCAAUGCAUUCCGGUGAACAGCCGGAAUGUUGAUAGUAGCGGAAGAGGAAGGGACGGCUAACUCUGUGCCAGCAGCCGCGGUAAUACAGAGGUCCCAAGCGUUGUUCGGAUUCACUGGGCGUAAAGGGUGCGUAGGUGGCGAGGCAAGUUCGAUGUGAAAGCUCCAGGCUUAACUUGGAAACGGCAUUGAAAACUGCCUUGCUAGAGGGUUGGAGGGGGGACUGGAAUUCUCGGUGUAGCGGUGAAAUGCGUAGAUAUCGAGAGGAACACCAGUGGCGAAGGCGAGUCCCUGGACAACUCCUGACACUGAGGCACGAAAGCUAGGGGAGCAAACAGGAUUAGAAACCCGUGUAGUCC
rnacentral:rRNA from 1 species